AAUGAACGCUGGCGGCAGGCUUAACACAUGCAAGUCGAACGCCCCGCAAGGGUAGUGGCGCACGGGUGAGUAACGCGUGGGAAUAUGCCCUUCGGUUCGGAAUAACACAGGGAAACUUGUGCUAAUACCGGAUACGAUCUACGGAUGAAAGAUUCAUCGCCGAAGGAGUAGCCCGCGUAGGAUUAGCUAGUUGGUGAGGUAAUGGCUCACCAAGGCGACGAUCCUUAGCUGGUCUGAGAGGAUGAUCAGCCACACUGGGACUGAGACACGGCCCAGACUCCUACGGGAGGCAGCAGUGGGGAAUAUUGGACAAUGGGCGAAAGCCUGAUCCAGCCAUGCCGCGUGAGUGAUGAAGGCCUUAGGGUUGUAAAGCUCUUUCGCCGGGGAAGAUAAUGACGGUACCCGGAAAAGAAGCCUCGGCUAACUCCGUGCCAGCCGCCGCAGUAAGAC
rnacentral:rRNA from 1 species